UUUUAAAUUAUUUCUAUCAUCUACUAUGAUUUUUGCAGAUUCUGAAAUGAGGAUGAAGAUUUUAUGUAUGAUAGUGAUCAUGAUACACAAUCUGAAUUAGAUGAAGAAGAAGAUAUAUUAGCUGAAACAGAUAAUAAGCUUAAGUAUUAUUUAGCUAAAAAUAAGGUUACUCAAUGGAAAAAGGAUUUUCCCAAUCAGAGAAUAAGAACUCGUCAGCAAAAUAUAGUUAUUGAUCAGCCAGGAGUAAAAGAAUAUGGGAAAUUAGCU